rnacentral:rRNA from 1 species
UUAGAGUUUGAUCCUGGCUCAGGACGAGCGCUGGCGGCGUGCUUAACACAUGCAAGUCGAACGAUGAUGCUUGGUGCUUGCACUGGGUGGAUUAGUGGCGAACGGGUGAGUAAUACGUGAGUAACCUGCCCCUGUCUUUGGGAUAAGCCUGGGAAACUGGGUCUAAUACUGGAUAUUCUGCUUGAACCGCAUGGUUUUUGUUGGAAAGAUUUUUCGGAUGGGGAUGGGCUCACGGCCUAUCAGCUAGUUGGUGAGGUAACGGCUCACCAAGGCGACGAUGCGUAGCCGACCUGAGAGGGUGAUCGGCCACAUUGGGACUGAGACACGGCCCACACUCCUACGGGAGGCAGCAGUGGGGAAUAUUGCACAAUGGGGGAAACCCUGAUGCAGCAACGCCGCGUGAGUGAUGACGGCCUUCGGGCUGUAAAGCUCUGUCUUCAGGGACGAUAAUGACGGUACCUGAGGAGGAAGCCACGGCUAACUACGUGCCAGCAGCCGCGGUAAUACGUAGGUGGCGAGCGUUGUCCGGAUUUACUGGGCGUAAAGGGGAGCGAAGGCGGAUUUUUAAGUGAGAUGUGAAAUACUCGGGCUUAACCUGAGUGCUGCUUUUCAAACUGGGAAGUCUAGAGUGCAGGAGAAGAAAAAGGGGAUUUCCUAGGGUAGCGGUGAAAUGCGUAAAAAAUAAAAAAAAACACCGGUGGCGAAGGCUCUUUCUUUGGAAUUGAUAAAAUGAAGCUGAAGGUUCAAAAGCGGGGGGAGAAAAAAAGAAUAAAAACCCCUGGGAACCCCCCCCCCAAAAAACAAAAAAAAACUAAGGGGGGGGGGGUUGGCCU